CAUGCACUCAUUAUGAGUUGAUUCUCGACAUGAUUCGGGUCCGCUUGUCGGGUUCGCAUAUUGGGUUCUUUUAAUCAGCAACAAUGUUGAUCAGUGGAUCUAGUUACUCAAUAAUUCCUGACAAUAAAUGACAGUAUAAGUAUGACUGUAUAAUGAAUAAAUCAAAUUGACAAAGUUUGUCAAGGCAAAAUAUUGUGCUAUGUGCCUUCUAUAAAUAAAUAAUUUAUUUUGUUAUGUGAUAAAUGACAUGUUGCAUAGAUCAACAAUAUAUUAGGUAUUGCCUAAAUGUGUGUGUAUAUAUAUAUAAUCAUGAAUAAAUGAUUUAUUCAGUUGUUUGAUAAAUGACAUGCUGCAUAAAUCAAUAAUAUAUUAGGUAUUGCCUAAAUAUGUAGGUUAUUAGAAUAUAUAUAUUAGCCACAAUGGGGAUAUAAAAUGGCAGGCAGUUUCAUGAGGUGCCAUAAUCAUCACAUAUUGUAUUCGUCUGUUACUGUUCAUGUCAUGUGACACCACACACCAUCACUCUCUGCAUGUACUUAUAUAUAUAUAUAUAUAUAAUAUAUUAUAUAUAUAUAUAUAUAUAUAUAUAUAUAUAAUAUAUUAGCAUGGCAGACAAGGUGUGGCAGAAAUAUUUAAAGUGGAAGCUAAUAAUAAAAGUGUUAGGAAAAAUGUUCUUAUAUGUGAGUUUUUUUCUUUUUCCUUUGUGAGAGUGGUUGACAUCAAAAGCGAAAGCAAAGGCAUCUUAUCUUUCUUUUGAAUUUGGUGGUCUGUAGCUUUUGAUAAAGCUUCAUGCACGCUCUAGCCUUGAGAAGGCGGGGAACAAACAGAAGAUAACAACCACAGAGAUCCCAGGGAAUAAUAAUUGAAAUCCUCUAUAGAAUAAUAGGUGGUGUCCACCAUAGCAUCAAACAUGCGCAUCUGACCACUGGUCUUCCUCGUGAGUGUUUCCAUCGGUGGUCGUGGUAUUUGCAGGAGGUGGGAUCCCUAUAUCUGGAACUGGGCCAUUGCCUCUUCAGUGACGGACGGCGGAGAACAGAAAUGGACAGUGUAGGCA
rnacentral:lncRNA from 1 species